CAGAGAGGGAUGCUAUGUUAGCUAGCUGGCUAUCCAACACUGGAACUCUUCCAAGUCAAGGUGAGACGGCCCACUGUCCGGAACCAGGUGAGUCUGCCUGCGACCCGGAACCGGGUGAGUUUGCCUGUGAUCCGGAACCGAGUGAGUCUGCCUGUGAUCCGGAACAGAAUGAGGGUGAAAUUAACUGUGAACUGUGUGAGUCUGUCUACAGCUUGGAACCGAAUGAGUCUGCCUACGACCCGGAACUGAGUGAGUCUGCCUACAGCCCGGAGCUAAGAGACUCUGUCUAUAGUCUGGAGGAUAGUAGGCCAGAACCAGAGCCACCUCCAGUAUAGGUGGGUUGGGGAGGGGGGUGUUGCACCUGCCACCCUCCCUUCCCUCCCUUUAGUUUAGGGGGAAUUUUGUUUUGUUGGUUG
rnacentral:lncRNA from 1 species